rnacentral:rRNA from 1 species
UCCAGCUGAUCCUGCUGGCGGGUACUGCUAUCGAACUGCCACUUAGACAUGCAAGUCAAUGGACCAAGCCACGUUGGUCUUUGGCGUACGGCUCAGUAACACGUCGUCAACCUACCGUCGCGAGGCGUUAAUCCUGGGAAACUGGGGGUAAUACGCCGUAGCUCCAGACAUCUGGAAAUGAGUUUGGAGCGAGAGGAUGCACCCGCAUGCUGGGUGUAAUCGCGCAUCGAUGGGACGGCGGCAGAUUAGCUUGUUGGCGGGGUAACGGCCCACCAAGGCGACGAUCUGUACGGGCCUUGAAAGAGGGAGCCCGGAGAAGGGAACUGAGAUAAGGUCCCUAGCCCUAAGGGGUGCAGCAGUUAGGAAACCUUUACAAUGCACGCAAGUGUGAUAGGGGUAGUUCGAGUGCUCCCAUUGGGAGCUUUUGCCAACUGUAAAAAGGUUGGCGAAUAAAGGGGGGGUAAUAUACGUGCCAGCCGCCGCGGUAAUACGUAAUCCCUAAGUGGUAUCCACGAAUAUUGGGCCUAAAGCGUUCGUAGCCGGCUGUAUAAGUCCUUGGUGAAAGGGGCUUGCUCAACUUGUCCAAUGGCUAAGGAUACUGUACGGCUGAGAGACCAGUAGAGGUGCAUGGAAUUACGGGGGUAACGGUGAAAUGUUGUGAUCCUCGUAGGACCACCGGUAGCGAAGGCGAUGCACCAGGAUGGUUCUGACGGUGAGGAACGAAAGCGGGGGGAGCGACCCGGAUUAGAUACCCGGUUAGUCCCCGCUGUAAACGAUGCAGACUAGGUGUUCGAUUUUCUACGUGAAUUUCGGGUGCCGUCGCGAAGGCAUUAAGUCUGCCGCCUGGGAAGUACACUCGCAAGGGUGAAACUUAAAGGAAUUGGCGGGAGCUCACUACAAGGGGUGGAUGCUGCGGUUUAAUCGGAUACAACGCCGGACAACUCACCCGGGGCGACAGCAGAAUGAUGGUCAGUCUAACGGGCUUACCUGACACGCUGAGAGGUGCUGUAUGGCCACUUGCAGCUCGUACUGUGAAGCGUCCUGUUAACUCAGGCAACGGGCGAGACCUUCAGAAUUAGUUGCUCGCUUUUUCUACGGAAGAAGUGCACUCUAAUUCGACUGCAGUUGUAAAACUGAGGAAGGAGAAGGCCACAGUAGGUCUGUAUAGCCCGAAUCUCCGGGGCCACACGCGGCAUACAAUGGUGCAGACAAUGAGUUCCGAGCCCGAAAGGGUAAGGUAAUCCCCUAACCUGCACCGCAGUUCAGAUCGAGGGUUGUAACUCACCCUCGUGAACGCCUGGAAUCCCCAGUAAUCGCGUGUCACUAUCGCGCGGUGAAUCAGUCCCUGAGCUUUGCACACACCGCCCAUCAAGCCAGCUGAGUGAAGUCUAGAUGAGCAGCGGCAACUUAUUGCCGUUUCGAUUCUGGAUUUUGUGAGGCGGGC